rnacentral:rRNA from 1 species
CCUACGGGAGGCAGCAGUAGGGAAUCUUCCACAAUGGGCGAAAGCCUGAUGGAGCAACGCCGCGUGGGUGAAGAAGGUCUUCGGAUCGUAAAACCCUGUUGUUAGAGAAGAAAGUGCGUGAGAGUAACUGUUCACGUUUCGACGGUAUCUAACCAGAAAGCCACGGCUAACUACGUCCCAGCAGCCGCGGUAAUACGUAGGUGGCAAGCGUUAUCCGGAUUUAUUGGGCGUAAAGGGAACGCAGGCGGUCUUUUAAGUCUGAUGUGAAAGCCUUCGGCUUAACCGGAGUAGUGCAUUGGAAACUGGGAGACUUGAGUGCAGAAGAGGAGAGUGGAACUCCAUGUGUAGCGGUGAAAUGCGUAGAUAUAUGGAAGAACACCAGGGGCGAAAGCGGCUCUCUGGUCUGUAACUGACGCUGAGGUUCGAAAGCGUGGGUAGCAAACAGGAUUAGAUACCCUUGUAGUC